UGGGGAAUAUUGCACAAUGGAGGGAACUCUGAUGCAGCGACGCCGCGUGAGUGAUGAAGGAAUUCGUUUCGUAAAACUCUGUUCUAUGGGAAGAAAAGGACUGUACCAUAGGAGAAAGCUCCGGCUAAAUACGUGCCAGCAGCCGCGGUAAUACGUAUGGAGCGAGCGUUGUCCGGAAUUAUUGGGCGUAAAGGGUGCGCAGGCGGCUUUACAAGUUGGAUGUGAAAUAUUGUGGCUCAACCACAAACGUGCAUCCAAAACUGCAAAGCUUGAGUUAAGGAGAGGUAAGUGGAAUUCCUGGUGUAGCGGUGGAAUGCGUAGAUAUCAGGAGGAAUACCGGUGGCGAAGGCGACUUACUGGACUUAAACUGACGCUCAGGCACGAAAGAGUGGGGAGCAAACAGG
rnacentral:rRNA from 1 species